rnacentral:misc_RNA from 1 species
GAUGAAAACGUAGCGAAAUGCGAUAAGUAAUGUGAAUUGCAGAAUUCAGUGAAUCAUCGAAUCUUUGAACGCACAUUGCGCCCCUUGGUAUUCCGAGGGGCAUGCCUGUUCGAGCGUCAUUAUAACCCCUCAAGCUCAGCUUGGUGUUGGGGCCUGCCGCACGGGCAGCCCUUAAAAUCAGUGGCGGUGCCAUCUGGCUCUAAGCGUAGUAAUUCUUCUCGCUAUAGAGUCCCGGUGGAUGCUUGCCAUUAACCCCCAAUUUUCUAUGGUUGACCUCGGAUCAGGUAGGGAUACCCGCUGAACUUAAGCAUAUCAAUAAGCGGAGGA